AUUGGUGAGGCCAUCUCCAAUGGAUUAGUUCUCAACAUUGGAUUAGUUAUCAUCAAUGC
rnacentral:pre_miRNA from 1 species